UACGGAGGGUGCAAGCGUUAAUCGGAAUUACUGGGCGUAAAGCGUGCGCAGGCGGUUUGUUAAGUCCGUUGUGAAAGCCCCGAGCUCAACUUGGGAAUUGCAGUGGAUACUGGCAGGCUGGAGUACGGUAGAGGAAGGUGGAAUUCCCGGUGUAGCAGUGAAAUGCGUAGAUAUCUGGAGGAACACCGGUGGCGAAGGCGGCAUCCUGGACCGGCAUUGACGCUGAGGCGCGAAAGCGUGGGGAUCAAACAGG
rnacentral:rRNA from 1 species